CCCGUGAACCUUUGCGAGCCGGUUGCUUAUCUGCAUAUUGUGGCCCUACCUUUCCCCCUCUCUCGCAACUAAAAAAUAGUAAAAUGAAAAGCGACAUAAAACAAUGAAAUGAAUAAGGCAACCUUCAACGAACAAAGUACGGGCUUUAACGUUCCACUUUUGUACUCACCGUAUUGCUAAUGAGAAUGGGAUUCAUUACCUAGGAAGUAAGCCAGGACUUUUUGCCCGAUGAGAACACACAUGGAUUGCCAGCAGUGCAGCUGCGCUGUAGCCAAAGGGUGUCCAGAGGAGCGUACAGUGGAAAAGACUGGGGUCAUAUGGGGUUGUCUGAAGGAAUCUAUUCUAAAAGAAACCACCAGAGAGGAGGCUGAAGAUAGCCAGUGAUUUACAAAAUCCACAAACUGGAAACAGCCUAACUGUCCAACAGCAGGGAUCUGCUACAUAAAAAGCCAUGAUCCAUCAGGCUUAUGGCGCGUUUCUGACCAGAGGGAAAGCAUACCUGCCAUUAGGGCGAGCAGCGGCCGCACAGUGGACCGUGUGGUUUUAUCUCAAUUAUAAGUGUUUGCCUCUGGAUGUCCACUAUUUUCCUGGAACCCGUGGGAUCUUAGUUCCCUGACCAGGAACAGAACCUGUGCCCCCUGCAGUGGAAGCAUGGAGUGGAAGAACAGCCAAGGAGUUCCCCAAAGUUCUACUACAAACACAAACAAACCUCAGAAAUAAAUGCCAGGUCUUGCACAGCCCCUUUCCCCCUCCUGCCCCAACAACGUAGGUCACAGAGCCUCCAGGAGUUCCAAAAGGGUUCAAACUAGCAAAGUUUUACUUCAAUGUUACGUUUGCUCAUAAAUGACUGAAAAAGCCGAUAUGCAAGAGGCUAACACGCUGUGUCUAAGGCAA